GACGAACGCUGGCGGCGUGCUUAACACAUGCAAGUCGAACGGAAAGGCCCUGCUUUUGUGGGGUGCUCGAGUGGCGAACGGGUGAGUAACACGUGAGUAACCUGCCCUUGACUUUGGGAUAACUUCAGGAAACUGGGGCUAAUACCGGAUAGGAGCUCCUGCUGCAUGGUGGGGGUUGGAAAGUUUCGGCGGCUGGGGAUGGACUCGCGGCUUAUCAGCUUGUUGGUGGGGUAGUGGCUUACCAAGGCUUUGACGGGUAGCCGGCCUGAGAGGGUGACCGGCCACAUUGGGACUGAGAUACGGCCCAGACUCCUACGGGAGGCAGCAGUGGGGAAUAUUGCACAAUGGGCGGAAGCCUGAUGCAGCAACGCCGCGUGCGGGAUGACGGCCUUCGGGUUGUAAACCGCUUUCGCCUGUGACGAAGCGUGAGUGACGGUAAUGGGUAAAGAAGCACCGGCUAACUACGUGCCAGCAGCCGCGGUGAUACGUAGGGUGCGAGCGUUGUCCGGAUUUAUUGGGCGUAAAGGGCUCGUAGGUGGUUGAUCGCGUCGGAAGUGUAAUCUUGGGGCUUAACCCUGAGCGUGCUUUCGAUACGGGUUGACUUGAGGAAGGUAGGGGAGAAUGGAAUUCCUGGUGGAGCGGUGGAAUGCGCAGAUAUCAGGAGGAACACCAGUGGCGAAGGCGGUUCUCUGGGCCUUUCCUGACGCUGAGGAGCGAAAGCGUGGGGAGCGAACAGGCUUAGAUACCCUGGUAGUCCACGCUGUAAACGGUGGGUACUAGGUGUGGGGUCCAUUCCACGGGUUCCGUGCCGUAGCUAACGCUUUAAGUACCCCGCCUGGGGAGUACGGCCGCAAGGCUAAAACUCAAAGGAAUUGACGGGGCCCCGCACAAGCGGCGGAGCAUGCGGAUUAAUUCGAUGCAACGCGUAGAACCUUACCUGGGUUUGACAUGGAUCGGGAGUGCUCAGAGAUGGGUGUGCCUCUUUUGGGGUCGGUUCACAGGUGGUGCAUGGCUGUCGUCAGCUCGUGUCGUGAGAUGUUGGGUUAAGUCCCGCAACGAGCGCAACCCUUGUUCACUGUUGCCAGCACGUUAUGGUGGGGACUCAGUGGAGACCGCCGGGGUCAACUCGGAGGAAGGUGGGGAUGACGUCAAGUCAUCAUGCCCCUUAUGUCCAGGGCUUCACGCAUGCUACAAUGGCUGGUACAGAGAGUGGCGAGCCUGUGAGGGUGAGCGAAUCUCGGAAAGCCGGUCUCGGUUCGGAUUGGGGUCUGCAACUCGACCUCAUGAAGUCGGAGUCGCUAGUAAUCGCAGAUCAGCAACGCUGCGGUGAAUACGUUCCCGGG
rnacentral:rRNA from 1 species